CUUUAUACUUACAUAAUUAUUUAGUAUUCAAGAGUCUACGUUUUUUUUGUAAAAACUCGUCAAAUAUACUAGGCUUAUAAUUAUGUUCCGUCAGAUGAGUGUUUCACCUAAAUAAUACUCGUCAUUGGCGCUAGAAUUAAAACAGUUGAAAGGUCAAAUCAAGAACGAAGUUGUAGAGCUUUAACAGGUAAAACUGUCUUUUGUGUUAAUGCAAUGCUGCGUCCGUUAAAGGCAGUGUCAACAGAAUAUAUUCUAGCAAACCGUAUAAUUGUCAUAGGAUUUUUUUUAGUAUAUUUUAGUUUCUCUUUUUCCGUCCAAAAACAGUUAUGUCUAAAACAAAAUUAAGCCAUAUUUUUACCCAAAAAAAGACAGUUGUUGUUUUAUUCUAUAUUCCAAGAAAAACUAUUUUAUGACAACUAUAUACAAAAACAAUUGUUCAACAAAAAUUUUACCAUAAUUAUACAUGUAAAAUCACAUGACUUGGAGAGCGGAAAAUAUCAACUUUAAAAUUUUCUUCUUUUCUUCAGGUGAAUAUGCUGUGUUAUUCAACAAAGUCAUAUAUGAAAGCCUACGGAUACAGAUUAACCGAAGGUUUGGAAACACAAUUGUUAACUUCAAUCUAAGGAUACUGUUGCUGUAAAAAGGCACAAUGCUUCUGCAAUAGAAUUACCAAGAUAAUUCACUUGUCUUUGACGACAAAGGACACAUGAUCAAAUGGAAUUAAAAUAUUCUUCUACUAGAAAUAUUUUUGUAACAUUACGAUGUCUUGCAUACAGAAACACCGCGGAGGGUGUCCAUAACAAAAACUUCCAAAUUGCACCACGAAUGUUAUUGUAGGUUUUCCUAUUGUCUUGUUUCUUUGUUGCCAUGAUGCUGUUAUUAUGGUUUUUGAUUGCCUAAUUUGUAACACUCCUGUUACGGAGAGACUAACCUUUGUCAUUCACAUGUUCUAACUCCAGUAUUGGAGAGAGUAAGAACGACUUUGAUCAGCGCUGCAUUGAUUUUAUUUCAUUCUUUUACUUCUAUGUUUUGCAUGAUUAUUUAACAGACCUUUUUAAUACUCUUUGCAGAUUAUCUAAAUAAAAUGACGGAAGUAAAUAUGAGAUCGCAUUGAAAAGAAACACUACCAGGACAAAGGGAAAACGAAAAACACUCUAUUUAUAGAAACAAAACAAGUUUUUACUUUUAUAUUUUAAUUAUGUUCAUUAUUGUUUUGGGUUUAUACCUGAAUGUGGUUAUUCCUAUAAUCAUUUAGACAAUUGCUGUCCAUAAGAAUCUUCAAUGCUGUCCAUUAUUCCUCCUCUGGUAACUUUUUCAGUUUCAUACGAAAUACAGUUAUAUUGAAUAAUAUCAUAAGUCCAUUACCCUAGAAAUAGACUUCUGAUAAUAUGCAAUUUAUAUACGGAAAUGCCGACAAAUAAUUUCACGGUGUUUAAAUUAGAUAAUUAGUAAAACAUCUGUUUGUUUCAAGUUAUUACAUCAAUGAUUAUAGCCGCUUCCAAUGAAAUAAAUUUAUGUAUAUAUAUACUACACGCAUUGAAUAUGUAGCAAAUGUUCUAUAUUGAUUAUGGUAAUCGCCUUCGCUAUUUUAAGAAUAGAAUAAAGCCCAGCUGUCUAUAUAUAGUCGUUAAAAUACCUGCUUUCUUAUUGUUACGAUCUGAGAGUUACUUUUUUUUGUGUUUUGAUUGGUUAAAAACUGUUUUGAAAAUGCAAGACAAAAUAAUAAGAAAUCCACUUACUUUUAUGAUAUAAAGUAUUUUUUUCAAUCUAAAUCAUUCUUCGACAUCAAACACAAGAUUACAUUACUACAUUUGAGUAAAAGAACAGUUUAAGAUAUGAAAGGUACAUUUUUGUUACAUUUUGUCACUAGAUUGUAUGAAAAACAGAAAAAUAGAAAAAUGGUUUUCGAAAGUAAGCCUAAUUGGAAAAAAGAGUGAAGAUUUAAUUUUUUUUUCCCACAUAGAACGGAAAGGUUAACAUAUUUCAAGCGAAUUGCUAUUUACUAAUAACUCGUUUUCGUUUCAGGAACAGCUUCAAGUGGUUAUAUUAUAGCAACUUUAAUGAUCGGUUUACAUUUAAUUGCGACAUCAUCUGCAAACAAAUGCGAUCCAUGUUUGUCAAAAGGGCAACUUACGAGUACUUCAGCAAAUAAAGCAUUUACGGACAUUUCACAGUUUUACUUUCUAGUUUUGAACGAGCUGAAAAAUUUCUUUGUCGUGCUGAACUCAACUUAUAAUCAAGAGAAAUAAAAUGUAAUCAGCAGUAUCAUGAUACAAUUUCAAACAGUGGACCUACGGGACGAUAUUCGAGAACUAAACUGUCCCCAUCCUAGGAAAAAGUUGAAAUGGAUGACAUGUGCUUACAACAAAAUAUCCACUGCAGUCAAAAAUAUCGAAGAAAGUGCGAUGUAUAGUCCUACAUUAAAUACAGACGCCAUUGCUAUUAAUGGAAAAAGAGUGUUGUGCUAUUUCAGGUUGAUAUUGAUGGGUAUAUGUAAAAAACCGAAAAGGUGUAAACGGGUUGAACGAAAACUGUCUAGAUCUGCUUGCAAUGAAGUACAAAAAGAAAAGCAGAUAAUGCCCACACCUCAAGAAAUGAAUAAUUCUCUACAUUCUUUGAGUCGACUGAAAAGUAUUAUAUCUAGUAUUCACAAAGAUAUUCUCUGUCAGGUUAAUAAGGAAGGAAAUGAGACCAAAUGUCGAAGACGUAGAAAGACGAAACAGGCAAAACACAAAAUAAGAGGUUGCCAAAAUAAGAAAUCGAAUACAAAAAGAAAAUGUCAACGUAAACGUAACAGGCGAAAAAAACAUAGAAAUAAAGCAAAAAAGUUGUAAAAUCAUUAAUGAAUGGUGUUACAUGUAUGAGUAUUUGUAGAAUUCCCUUAAGUAUGCAUUUAUCAUACUUUUUUAUUGAUAUAAUUAUAGUUUUACCUGAAGUCUUAGCAAUGAAUGUACAACUAAUUUCAAUUUCUAUAUUCAUCUUUAUCCUUUUUACAUUCCAUUAUUGUGUUGCACAUUAGUUCUGUAUAAUAUUUGUUUUUUUAAGACCAAGUGUUCCUUUCUGUCUCUUAAUCUUCAAGAUGUUUUUUUUUGUUAAUAUUUUUUUGAGGAUUGUAUACUACUGUGAUUAAUAAUAAUUAAUAUAUGUGGAUAAUUGUGCAUUUAUUUAUUAUAUAUAUGUAAAUUAUUUGAUUGAUAUAAGUUGUGAAAAAACAUAUCCUUUCUAGUAAGAAAGCUGUGUGUAAGCUCUAAGAGCUGAACAAUACAUUUAUUUAUAUUACAAGACUUUAUAUUUUGUUUGUGUGUAAGCUCUAAGAGCUGAACAAUAAAUUUAUUUAUAUUACAA